rnacentral:rRNA from 1 species
UACGAAGGGGGCUAGCGUUGUUCAGAAUCACUGGGCGUAAAGGGCGCGUAGGCGGCCGAUCAAGUCGGGGGUGAAAGCCUGUGGCUCAACCACAGAAUUGCCUUCGAUACUGUUUGGCUUGAGACCGGAAGAGGUUAGUGGAACUGCGAGUGUAGAGGUGAAAUUCGUAGAUAUUCGCAAGAACACCAGUGGCGAAGGCGGCUGACUGGUCCGGUUCUGACGCUGAGGCGCGAAAGCGUGGGGAGCAAACAGG